CAUCCUCAAUGCAUCUGGAAUCAAUCGAUUUGUUCGGUAUGCACAUAUAGCACCGGCACCGCCGCUGCGUACCAGUGUAACCGGGAGAAGGAGAGACCAGGGGUGGGCGGGUGGCGCCAGAGGGCUUGCUCGUCCAACGCCGCGCGCCAGAGGGCGCUGCCUGGCGUCGCUGCGUCCUCGGCCGCUGCGUCGACGUUGCUGUACCCUCCAGUACAGGCGGCGUGUCCUCGGGGUAACCAAUGGCCGGCGCCUAGAACGGCGAUCUCCACCGCGGCGGCACCGGUAGCACGACCAGCCGCGUCGAAUGCUGCAUCCGAGAGGUGGAGGACGCCGUCGUCGCCAAACGCCGAGAAGCAUGUCCAUUGAUUACUGCUGUGGACGGGAAUAUGGCUAAUCGAAUCGGCGGCAUUCUUCUCUUCUCCUGUGGCCAUUUCUCAGCGGAGAGCAAAAGUGCUGAUAACGUGUUAGAGAGAAUCGAGAGAGAGGAGCGAAUGGAAAACAGAUAUAUGAAUGAACAGUUAUUCUAUUGAUUGAAGAUUGGGGUAUUUAUACCCAGUUUACAAGGCGGUUA